AUGAAAAUAGCGAGAGAUAUCUAAUGCAACAGGGCACAACAUCAAUGAAGUGCAUUAUUAACAUUUUGAUUGACUUGAAAGCUGUUAUGUUAAUAAGCACUAGAUAGCCGAAGAAGCAAUAUAAAAAGCAAGCCUUCUUUUUAUAGACACUUUCAGGCAAAUGGAUCGUUAUUGGAUG
rnacentral:ncRNA from 2 species